AUCUUUGUGCAGUGGCUGUACUGUGGCCAAAGAGGUCUACCCGAGGCACGAUUUGUGCUAAUUGAAAACUUUUCCCGGAUCAUAUUGCUUCCAAAUGUGUUAUGAAAAACUACUUUUUGAGAGGCAGGCAAGCAGC